CUCCCACCGACCCCGGCUUGCAGACAGCUGUGGCCCUCUGCGGAAAUGGCCCGAGACGGCAGCAUGUGGACAGCAAAUGGCGACUAGUGAGAUCUGAGCACCGCAGGAGGGACCCUGGCUGAGGCAAGCUGCUCAGGUCACCUGUAGCUGGCGGGCUGCGGGCUGUUGCUGCCCUCUUGUGGUCGAGAGCAGAACCACAGGACUGCUGCCAAUAAGAGAAAGCAAAGUAUCCUUAUUUUCAGAUGAUAGGAUUCUAUACAUGAGACCUUAAAGACUCCACCAGAACUGUCUGAGAACUGAUGAAGAUAAACACUCCUAACAAAAUAGCAGGACAUAAAAUUCAUGUAUACAUGUCUUUAGGCUUCCUGUAUAUCAAUAACAAACAUGGCGAGGAAGAAACCAGGAAAAUCAAUCCCUCUUGCUCUUGUAAACUAAGCCUGAAGAUCUGAAUUCAUUCCUCCAAACCAAGAUAGUGGACGACCAGAACCAAUUCAGCAUGGUCUCUGUCGACUCUCGAUUUUGAUGAAGUCACUGUGAAUGCUGCCCACCAUUGGAGAUGACUUUCAGGGGAAGAGGCACGGGGUUGAAACAAUGCUGACUGUCCUGGAAUUCACUAUGCAGACCAGGCUGGCCUUGAACUCAGAGAUCUAUCGGCAUGCACCACCAAACCCAGGGUAAAAAGAGUCAGCCUAGGAGCUCCAGAAACAACUCAACAGGUAAGGGUCCUUGCUGCUGAGUCAGAAGAAAGGAGACAGCCUGCAAGUUCUCUGAUGUCCUCAGACAUGAACUCACAUCCAAACACAAUCCCAGCUUCCCACUCCUACAAACACAAUAAACUUAAGCAUGAUAAAAAAAAAAAUACUACUGGGCUGGAGAGAUGGCUCAGCGGUUAAGAGCACUGACUGCUCUUCUGAAGGUCCUAAGUUCAAAUCCCA
rnacentral:lncRNA from 1 species